GUUAGAGUGAGUGUUAGUGUGUGUCUGCUAGUGAGUGUUAGUGUGUGUGUCUGCUAGUGAGUGUCAGUGAGUGUGUUACUGUGUGUGUCUUACUGAGUCUGUUUGAUGUCUGUUAGUGAGUGUGUGUUUGUCAAUGAGAGUGUAUGUUUUGUAAGUGAGAGUGUAUGUAUGUCUGUCGCUGACUGUAUCUCUGUCAGUAAAUGUGUGUGUCUGUUAGCUAGUGUGUAUGCGUCUGUAAGUGAGAGUGUGUGUGUCU